rnacentral:rRNA from 1 species
AUUGAACGCUGGCGGCAUGCUUUACACAUGCAAGUCGAACGGUAACAGGGAGCUUGCUCCGCUGGCGAGUGGCGAACGGGUGAGUAAUGCGUCGGAACGUGCCGAGUAGUGGGGGAUAACGCAUCGAAAGGUGUGCUAAUACCGCAUACGUACUGAGGUAGAAAGUGGGGGACCUCCGGGCCUCACGCUAUUCGAGCGGCCGACGUCUGAUUAGCUAGUUGGUGAGGUAAAGGCUCACCAAGGCGACGAACAGUAGCGGGUCUGAGAGGAUGAUCCGCCACACUGGGACUGAGACACGGCCCAGACUCCUACGGGAGGCAGCAGUGGGGAAUUUUGGACAAUGGGUGAAACCCUGAGCCAGCGAUGCAGCGUGUGUGAAGAAGGCCUGCGGGUUGUAAAGCACUUUCGGUUGGGAAGAAGGGCGUUUGGCUAAUAUCCAGGCGUUUUGACGUUACCAACAGAAUAAGCACCGGCUAACUUCGUGCCAGCCGCCGCUGUAAGAC